AUUGAACGCUGGCGGCAGGCCUAACACAUGCAAGUCGAACGAGUGGCGGACGGGUGAGUAAUGCUUGGGAAUCUGGCUGAUGGAGGGGGAUAACUACUGGAAACUGUAGCUAAUACCGCAUACCAUCGGAUGAGCCCAAGUGGGAUUAGGUAGUUGGUGGGGUAAUGGCUCACCAAGGCGCCGAUCUCUAGCUGGUCUGAGAGGAUGACCAGCCACACUGGGACUGAGACACGGUCCAGACUCCUACGGGAGGCAGCAGUGGGGAAUAUUGCGCAAUGGGCGCAAGCCUGAUGCAGCCAUGCCGCGUGUAUGAAGAAGGCCUUCGGGUUGUAAAGUACUUUCAGCGGGGAAGCGGUACCCGAAGAAGAAGCACCGGCUAACUCCGUGCCAGCAGCCGCGGUAAUAC
rnacentral:rRNA from 1 species